rnacentral:misc_RNA from 1 species
GACAGCAAAGACAGGGGACGGUUCUGUGUCUUAAAAAAAGACAGGGGACGGUUCUCUGUCUUAUUUUUAAGACACAGAACCGUCCCCUGUCUUUUUUUUUUUUUUUU